rfam:Megasphaera micronuciformis F0359 genomic scaffold Scfld98, whole genome shotgun sequence.
AUAAUGUUGCAAGGGAGUCUAUAUUAUAGGCUGAGAAAGGACUGUAAGUCCUGACCUUUACACCUGAUCGGGAUCAUGCCCGCGUAGGAAGCUCGUUUACGCCACAC